rnacentral:rRNA from 1 species
UACAGAGGUCCCAAGCGUUGUUCGGAUUCACUGGGCGUAAAGGGUGCGUAGGUGGUGAGGUAAGUCUGAUGUGAAAUCUCCAAGCUUAACUUGGAAAUGGCAUUGGAAACUACCUUGCUAGAGGAUUGGAGGGGAGACUGGAAUUCUUGGUGUAGCAGUGAAAUGCGUAGAUAUCAAGAGGAACACCGGUGGCGAAGGCGGUCUGCUGGGCAGUAGCUGACGCUGAUGCGCGACAGCGUGGGGAGCAAACAGG